rnacentral:lncRNA from 1 species
UUGGUUGGUGUUGGAAACUGAGAUGUACAAAGAAACCAUCACUGGAAAUAGAAACGAAGAGUAAUAUGCAGUUCACAGGCUGGAGAGCCAAUCUGGUACUUAAAAAGGAGAGAUUCUUGCUUUCUUUGAAGCAGCAUAGCAUCUCAGGGUGUUGGUUGAGUACCACAGAAACAGAGAUGCACGUUCUCUACAUGCUGGAAGCAGUCAUCCUGUUGCUAAGGAAACAGCCUCACUCAGCAAGGGUCACCUUUGGAAACAACGGCAAGACUUCAAAGCAGAUCAAUAGAGAAAUACCAAGACCUGAACUUCCUAGCAAAUACUCUCUUCUAUUUUAAAUAUCCUUUUCAACAAAUGUUUGCUUAUGUGAUUUCUGUUUAGUGGGCAGUAGCAAGGCAAAAUUGAAUGUGUAAUAAGUCGAUCCCAGUAUUUUUCAAGCUCUGGCUCUUGGAGAUCUGUGGUUUUUGAUAGAUGCUUUGAGUGUGGGAUUGUGCAGGAACAGCAGGAUGGAGAUGGAUUGAUAUCAGGUUUAAAAAGAGAUGCUGCAUUUAUGACUGCAUUCGAGGGAAAGGUUCCACUCAUUAAAAAAUGUAGAUUCUUUCCUCAUGCAAGCACACUUCAUUACUCAU